UUCGAUUGGUUGGGUACAUUAGGAGGACUGCCAGUGUUAAAUUGGAGGAAGGAACGGGCAACGGUAGGUCAGUAUGCCCCGAAUGAGCUGGGCAACACGCGGGCUACAAUGGCUAAGACAAUGGGUCGCUAUCUCGACAGAGAACGCUAAUCUCGAAACUUAGUCGUAGUUCGGAUUGAGGGCUGAAACUCGCCCUCAUGAAGCUGGAUUCGGUAGUAGCCGCCUUUCAGUAGAAGGCGACGAAUACGUCCCUGCUCCUUGCACACACCGCCCGUC
rnacentral:rRNA from 1 species